UUUUACAAUGGAGAGUUUGAUCCUGGCUCAGGAUGAACGCUAGCGGCAGGCCUAAUACAUGCAAGUCGAACGGUGGUA
rnacentral:rRNA from 1 species